rnacentral:rRNA from 1 species
UGUGUGUGUUAGUGGAAGCGUCUGGAAAGGCGCGCGAUACAGGGUGACAGCCCCGUACACAAAAAUGCACAUGCUGUGAGCUCGAUGAGUAGGGCGGGACACGUGGUAUCCUGUCUGAAUAUGGGGGGACCAUCCUCCAAGGCUAAAUACUCCUGACUGACCGAUAGUGAACCAGUACCGUGAGGGAAAGGCGAAAAGAACCCCGGCGAGGGGAGUGAAAAAGAACCUGAAACCGUGUACGUACAAGCAGUGGGAGCACGCUUAGGCGUGUGACUGCGUACCUUUUGUAUAAUGGGUCAGCGACUUAUAUUCUGUAGCAAGGUUAACCGAAUAGGGGAGCCGAAGGGAAACCGAGUCUUAACUGGGCGUUAAGUUGCAGGGUAUAGACCCGAAACCCGGUGAUCUAGCCAUGGGCAGGUUGAAGGUUGGGUAACACUAACUGGAGGACCGAACCGACUAAUGUUGAAAAAUUAGCGGAUGACUUGUGGCUGGGGGUGAAAGGCCAAUCAAACCGGGAGAUAGCUGGUUCUCCCCGAAAGCUAUUUAGGUAGCGCCUCGUGAAUUCAUCUCCGGGGGUAGAGCACUGUUUCGGCAAGGGGGUCAUCCCGACUUACCAACCCGAUGCAAACUGCGAAUACCGGAGAAUGUUAUCACGGGAGACACACGGCGGGUGCUAACGUCCGUCGUGAAGAGGGAAACAACCCAGACCGCCAGCUAAGGUCCCAAAGUCAUGGUUAAGUGGGAAACGAUGUGGGAAGGCCCAGACAGCCAGGAUGUUGGCUUAGAAGCAGCCAUCAUUUAAAGAAAGCGUAAUAGCUCACUGGUCGAGUCGGCCUGCGCGGAAGAUGUAACGGGGCUAAACCAUGCACCGAAGCUGCGGCAGCGACGCUUAUGCGUUGUUGGGUAGGGGAGCGUUCUGUAAGCCUGUGAAGGUGUACUGUGAGGUAUGCUGGAGGUAUCAGAAGUGCGAAUGCUGACAUAAGUAACGAUAAAGCGGGUGAAAAGCCCGCUCGCCGGAAGACCAAGGGUUCCUGUCCAACGUUAAUCGGGGCAGGGUGAGUCGACCCCUAAGGCGAGGCCGAAAGGCGUAGUCGAUGGGAAACAGGUUAAUAUUCCUGUACUUGGUGUUACUGCGAAGGGGGGACGGAGAAGGCUAUGUUGGCCGGGCGACGGUUGUCCCGGUUUAAGCGUGUAGGCUGGUUUUCCAGGCAAAUCCGGAAAAUCAAGGCUGAGGCGUGAUGACGAGGCACUACGGUGCUGAAGCAACAAAUGCCCUGCUUCCAGGAAAAGCCUCUAAGCAUCAGGUAACAUCAAAUCGUACCCCAAACCGACACAGGUGGUCAGGUAGAGAAUACCAAGGCGCUUGAGAGAACUCGGGUGAAGGAACUAGGCAAAAUGGUGCCGUAACUUCGGGAGAAGGCACGCUGAUAUGUAGGUGAAGUCCCUCGCGGAUGGAGCUGAAAUCAGUCGAAGAUACCAGCUGGCUGCAACUGUUUAUUAAAAACACAGCACUGUGCAAACACGAAAGUGGACGUAUACGGUGUGACGCCUGCCCGGUGCCGGAAGGUUAAUUGAUGGGGUUAGCGCAAGCGAAGCUCUUGAUCGAAGCCCCGGUAAACGGCGGCCGUAACUAUAACGGUCCUAAGGUAGCGAAAUUCCUUGUCGGGUAAGUUCCGACCUGCACGAAUGGCGUAAUGAUGGCCAGGCUGUCUCCACCCGAGACUCAGUGAAAUUGAACUCGCUGUGAAGAUGCAGUGUACCCGCGGCAAGACGGAAAGACCCCGUGAACCUUUACUAUAGCUUGACACUGAACAUUGAGCCUUGAUGUGUAGGAUAGGUGGGAGGCUUUGAAGUGUGGACGCCAGUCUGCAUGGAGCCGACCUUGAAAUACCACCCUUUAAUGUUUGAUGUUCUAACGUGGACCCGUAAUCCGGGUUGCGGACAGUGUCUGGUGGGUAGUUUGACUGGGGCGGUCUCCUCCUAAAGAGUAACGGAGGAGCACGAAGGUUGGCUAAUCCUGGUCGGACAUCAGGAGGUUAGUGCAAUGGCAUAAGCCAGCUUGACUGCGAGCGUGACGGCGCGAGCAGGUGCGAAAGCAGGUCAUAGUGAUCCGGUGGUUCUGAAUGGAAGGGCCAUCGCUCAACGGAUAAAAGGUACUCCGGGGAUAACAGGCUGAUACCGCCCAAGAGUUCAUAUCGACGGCGGUGUUUGGCACCUCGAUGUCGGCUCAUCACAUCCUGGGGCUGAAGUAGGUCCCAAGGGUAUGGCUGUUCGCCAUUUAAAGUGGUACGCGAGCUGGGUUUAGAACGUCGUGAGACAGUUCGGUCCCUAUCUGCCGUGGGCGCUGGAGAAUUGAGGGGGGCUGCUCCUAGUACGAGAGGACCGGAGUGGACGCAUCACUGGUGUUCGGGUUGUCAUGCCAAUGGCACUGCCCGGUAGCUAAAUGCGGAAGAGAUAAGUGCUGAAAGCAUCUAAGCACGAAACUUGCC